rnacentral:lncRNA from 1 species
AAGGAGGCCGGUUGUUAAUUUCUACGGAUUUUUUCACGGUAUUUAUUAUCCACUAAACUCAAAGUCCUGAAAAUAUGAUGAACAAACGAAGCAAAUAUAGGACGAUACCGAUCAAACUAGACCGUAUAAUCUCGCCGAGAUCAACUUUUGACGUGUUCGGCGCUUGAGUUACGGAGCGGCGCGCGCAGCCGGUCUCCCCCUGCCGCCAUCAUUGCCGUCGCGUCGGUCGCCAGUUGCAGCUGACCGAUGGGAGCGUUCGGAGUGUCGUUCGCGUGUCGCGUCUCGCAGAUUCCGCGCUCGUGCGUGUCCCCACGCGUACGUACGUACGUCGUGCGUCGUGUCUCGGUACGCGCUUGUCAUCGGCACGCGUCGCCGCCAGUGAGUCGUCGCCGCGAGUGAUUCGAUCGCUCGUAGAACCGGCGUGAGUGAACGAUCCUCGCGCAUCCUGCUCCUCGUUGCGAAACGGUGAAAGGCGCGGGACGAAGAAGAGAUCCCGGGACCGCCGACGACGGAUUCCGGACGGGUCACAGAUACUGCCACCACGGUCAAUAUAGGACACGGGGUGACUGUCGACCAAGGCGUCGUCGAUCAGCAGCGGCGAGGUGCAGUCUCCGUUCGAGAUUAAACGGCUUGGUUGAAAAGCUCCGGGAGGCCAACGCCGACUGUGGCUGUGCUGGAGCCCCAGGGCGUUCACUCAGAUGUUACGCCUUAAUUUGUUCGACCGGUCGGCGUCCGAAACCGUCGGUUUCUGGAGCGAAGACAACGCGGCACGGUGUUUGGACGCGGAAGAAGUAUGCUAAUAAUAUUACAACCUAAUUCGUAGCAAGCGACCUGAUGAAGCGUAAGUAGGAUGAAUUAUACAAGAGCGCAUUUCGCGAGAUUACAGUGUCGUUACGAUGUUAUUAGCUGCGCGUAUCGUUAACCCUCGCGCACGCUCAUUCCGCCGAUGUUUCGGCCAUUUGCAACUUUCAAGUGGCGGUGUUACGAGCACAGGCAAGACGGCAAGUACGCGAUUUACGAUUACGGUAAAAUUAUACUUUGUUCGGGCUAAUCAAAAGCGAACGCGAUCGACUGCGACGAGGGUCUCGCGUGUAAUUCCUCGGACGAUUUCUCAUGACAUGUGCGACAUCUCGAGCAGGAGAAGUAAAGUUUCACCGCGAGUCCCUCCUCUCCUCCCCUCCGCCGUUACAUCGAAAUGUUAUCUCGAGUCUUGGAGAUCUGGAGGGGGAGGAGGAAAAAAUAAAUAAACCGAGUCGGAGAGUUUUCUCGCCGGGGCGCGGGCGGAGGCGGCUCCGCAUUAAAAUGUAUAGCUCGCCGUCGAAUGUUAAUUCAAAUGAAUCGACGCUCGCAGAUGGAAUUUUCGACGACAAAGGGUAGAACCGAGGGAGAUCCUCGGAGUUUACGCCCUCUCGACACCGGUCGGCGCGAUUGAAUUUUCUUAUCGGCGAGCUCGCGGACGGUACAUUGGCCUUUAGCGGAUACCGACACUAUUUUGGCGCACGAGACGGCUCCCGGAAGCGUAGGAGAGUUAGACGGAACGAAAGAGACGAGAGAAAAAAGAGCGGGAGGGUGAGACGGACGCCUUGAACGGCACAGAGAGGUGGGUUUAAGCGAAAUUGCUUUGGGUCUGGGAGCCUUUCGAAUGUCGC